GACGAACGCUGGCGGCGUGCCUAAUACAUGCAAGUCGAACGCAUUUUCUUUCACCGUAGCUUGCUACACCGAAAGAAAAUGAGUGGCGAACGGGUGAGUAACACGUGGGUAACCUGCCCAUCAGCGGGGGAUAACACUUGGAAACAGGUGCUAAUACCGCAUAAUUCCAUUUACCGCAUGGUAGAUAGAUGAAAGGCGCUUUUGCGUCACUGAUGGAUGGACCCGCGGUGCAUUAGCUAGUUGGUGGGGUAACGGCCUACCAAGGCUGCGAUGAAUAGCCGACCUGAGAGGGUGAUCGGCCACACUGGGACUGAGACACGGCCCAGACUCCUACGGGAGGCAGCAGUAGGGAAUCUUCGGCAAUGGACGCAAGUCUGACCGAGCAACGCCGCGUGAGUGAAGAAGGUUUUCGGAUCGUAAAACUCUGUUGUUAGAGAAGAGCAAGGAUGAGAGUGGAAAGUUCAUCCCUUGACGGUAUCUAACCAGAAAGCCACGGCUAACUACGUGCCAGCAGCCGCAGUAA
rnacentral:rRNA from 1 species